UCUCCGUUCUUUCUUCUUUUCUCUUCAUCUCUAUCUCCUUUCAUCAAGAGAGAUUUGUUUCCUUCUUAUCCAUUCAGAAGGCAGAGAGUGGAUAUGCCAAAACUAUAAACCUGAUGGCUUAAGUAGCAGUGGUUUGAGCGGCCAUGCUACCAAAUAAGGUUACAACUACGGGAUGUGAUUUGGAAUUGAAGGAAAUAGAGAGAUUAACGGAUUUGAAGAUCAGUGGAGAGAG